AAUUAAAUUAGUAUUUGACUUUUUAAUCUUUAAAGAGAUGAAUUAAUUUAAUCUUUGAAAGUUUAUUUCUAAUGGCAUACCUAUGUAAUUAUUUACAAAAAAUAAGGUUAGUUUUUAUUAUGUACUUCCCAAAUAAUAAUAUAGGAUGUCAAACAUCGACAUUAUAACUUUAACUAGAGUUAUUAUGUAGACUCAAACUAUUGGUUGUAUUUGCAAUCUCAUUGAUUGAUUAUGUAGACUCUGAUUCAUAUUAAUAAAGUUUGUUGAGACGGUAAAAAAAAA
rnacentral:sRNA from 1 species